rnacentral:lncRNA from 1 species
AACACUGCCAUGACGACAAGUCAUAGAGGGAAGGACUCUCUCUAUUCAGUAUGGUUCUAGAAAGGUUAGAGGGACGUCUACAGGAACUAGAUGCUGACAGACCACGUCUGAAAAGGCAAGCACAGAGCAGAGAAUAAACUCGGAGAGGAGGGACAGGUUUCGACCGAGCUCUUUCGAACAGCAAGGGCACAUUACUUUAACGUCCAAAAUCAGUGUCACGAACAGACAACCAAGUGCUUUGAUGUGCAAAACUUUUGCUUGUUUUUUGACAUGUAUGGCAUGGAUGAGAACAUCUUAUAACAAGCCUUGCUGAACUCUGGCUUCAGCGGAGUGUCCCUGUGAAAGAGGGAGCAGAAACCAACAUUUCCAGAGUCAGUUACUAAAGCAUUUGUUGAAAUCAAUGAAGAUAGAAGGCAGAGCAUGAACGCACAGAUCCCCAGCAUGGCUGUGGAUCUGGGGCAAGAAAACGGAAGAUCAAAGUUCUGAAGCAUGAAGUUCUGAACCUCGAUAGAACACAUAUACUUUUAUGUUAUAAUUAUAAUAGAUGUACUGUAUAGAACUAUCUGGAUCACCCACUUUUAUCUGCAAAUUCUACCCUGACAAAAAUACAGCCA